rnacentral:rRNA from 1 species
AUUGAACGCUGGCGGCAUGCCUUACACAUGCAAGUCGAACGGUAACAGGUUAAGCUGACGAGUGGCGAACGGGUGAGUAAUGUAUCGGAACGUGCCCAGUCGUGGGGGAUAACUGCCCGAAAGAGCAGCUAAUAACGCAUACGACAUGAGGGUGAAAGCGGGGGAUGGCACGAGCUCGCGCGAUUGGAGCGGCUGAUAUCAGAUUAGGUAGUUGGUGAGGUAAAGGCCCACCAAGCCGACGAUCUGUAGCUGGUCUGAGAGGACGAUCAGCCACACUGGGACGAAUACACGGCCCAGACGCCUACGGGAGGCGGCAGUGGGGAAGUUUGUACAAUGGGCGCAAGCCUGAUCCAGCCAUGCCGCGUGCUGGAAGAAGGCCUUCUGGUUGUAAACCGCUUUUGUCAGGAAAGAAAAGGUUCUGGCUAAUACCUGGGACUCAUGACGGUACCUGAAGAAUAAGCACCGGCUAACUACGUG